UUUCCGUAGGUGAACCUGCGGAAGGAUCAUUCAUAAGUCAGUGUUUUUUACUGGCUCUUUUUUAACAAUCUAGUGCCCACCUUGUGUGCAACGUAUUGUCUUAAAUUUUUAGUCACGUGCAUGUCACAUGAUCACAUAUCGAAUAUAAUAACACCAACUUUUUUACCUUGAAUAAAUUUGUAUGAAUAAUAUUAUAAAUAUAAUUCAAAAUAUAACUUUCAACAACGUAUCUCUUGGCUCGCGCAUCGAUAAAGAAC
rnacentral:misc_RNA from 1 species